UCCUACGGGAGGCAGCAGUGGGGAAUAUUGCACAAUGGGGGAAACCCUGAUGCAGCCAUUGCCGCGUGUGUGAAGAAGGCCUUCGGGUUGUAAAGCACUUUCAGUAGGGAGGAAGGUAGUGUAGUUAACACCUGCAUUAUUUGACGUUACCUACAGAAGAAGCACCGGCUAACUCCGUGCCAGCAGCCGCGGUAAUACGGAGGGUGCGAGCGUUAAUCGGAAUUACUGGGCGUAAAGCGCAUGCAGGCGGCCUGUUAAGUCAGAUGUGAAAGCCCGGGGCUUAACCUCGGAAUUGCAUUUGAAACUGGCAGGCUAGAGUCUUGUAGAGGGGGUAGAAUUUCAGGUGUAGCGGUGAAAAUGCGUAGAGAUCUGAAGGAAUACCAGUGGCGAAGGCGGCCCCCUGGACAAAGACUGACGCUCAGAUGCGAAAGCGUGGGGAGCAAACAGGAUUAGAUACCCUGGUAG
rnacentral:rRNA from 1 species